UACAGAGGGUGCAAGCGUUAAUCGGAAUUACUGGGCGUAAAGCGUGCGUAGGUGGUUUGUUAAGUCGGGUGUGAAAUCCUUGGGCUCAACCUGAGAAUUGCAUCUGAAACUGGCGAGCUAGAGUGUGGUAGAGGGUAGUGGAACUCCCGGUGUAGCGGUGAAAUGCGUAGAUAUCGGGAAGAACACCAGUGGCGAAGGCGGCUACCUGGACCAACACUGACACUGAGGCACGAAAGCGUGGGGAGCAAACAGG
rnacentral:rRNA from 1 species